CCUACGGGAGGCAGCAGUGAGGAAUAUUGGUCAAUGGGCGUAAGCCUGAACCAGCCAAGUCGCGUGCGGGAUGAAGGUUCUAUGGAUCGUAAACCUCUUUUAUAAGGGAAUAAACUGUGGGACGUGUCCUAUUUUGUAUGUACCUUAUGAAUAAGGAUCGGCUAACUCCGUGCCAGCAGCCGCGGUAAUACGGAGGAUCCGAGCGUUAUCCGGAUUUAUUGGGUUUAAAGGGUGCGUAGGCGGCCUUUUAAGUCAGCGGUGAAAGUCUGUGGCUCAACCCUGGAAUUGCCGUUGAUACUGGGGGGCUUGAGUAUGUUUGAGGCAGGCGGAAUGCAUGGUGUAGCGGUGAAAUGCUUAGAGAUCACGCAGAACACCGAUUGCGAAGGCAGCCUGCCAAGCCAUGACUGACGCUGAUGCACGAAAGCGUGGGGAUCAAACAGGAUUAGAUACCCGUGUAGUC
rnacentral:rRNA from 1 species